GUCCCUCAUAGGCUUAUAUAUGUGAAUGCUUCAUCACCAAGGAGUGACACUGUUUGAAAGGAUUAGGAGGUGUGGCCUUGUUGGGUAGGUGUGGCCUUGUUGGAGAAGUAUGUCACUGGGGGUAGAAUUUGGGGUUUCAAAAGCCCAAGCCAGUCCCUGUGUCUCUCUUCCAGCUGCCUGCAGGUCUGGAUGUAGAACUUUCAGCUCCUUCUUCAACAUGUCUGCCUGCAUGUCACCAUGCUCCCAGACAUGAUGAUAAUGGAUUAAACCUCUGAAACUGGUUUCUUCUGGAUGGUUGGGUUCUCCACUGGGCAGGCCUCUCUGGGAGAGGCAGGUGCCUUCGCUCUUCCCACAAACCACUCUUUCUUUUGCACUGAUGGAGAGCACCCAGGACCCAGAAGAUGGUUUGAACAAUAACAGCUGUGGCUUGCUUGUGGAGACUAUUUUAAAGGGCAACAUUAUUUGGAUGG
rnacentral:lncRNA from 1 species